rnacentral:rRNA from 1 species
ACUAAAUAGAUACCCCGGUAGUCCCAGCCGUAAACGAUGCUCGCUAGGUGUCAGACAUGGCGCGACCGUGUCUGGUGCCGCAGGGAAGCCGUGAAGCGAGCCACCUGGGAAGUACGGCCGCAAGGCUGAAACUUAAAGGAAUUGGCGGGGGAGCACAACAACGGGUGGAGCCUGCGGUUUAAUUGGACUCAACGCCGGACAACUCACCGGGGACGGACAGCAAAAUGUAGGCCAGGCUGAAGACCUUGCCUGAAUCGCUGAGAGGAGGUGCAUGGCCGUCGCCAGUUCGUACUGUGAAGCAUCCUGUUAAGUCAGGCAACGAGCGAGACCCGUGCCCACUGUUACCAGCAUAUCCUCCGGGAUGAUGGGUACUCUGUGGGGACCGCCGGUGUUAAAUCGGAGGAAGGUGCGGGCCACGGUAGGUCAGUAUGCCCCGAAUUUCCCGGGCUACACGCGGGCUACAAUGAAUGGGACAAUGGGUCCCUACCCGAAAGGGUUGUAAUCUCACAAACCCAUCCGUAGUUCGGAUCGAGGGCUGUAACUCGCCCUCGUGAA